rnacentral:rRNA from 1 species
GUGGAUUAGUGGCGCACGGGUGAGUAAUAUAUAGAUAACGUGCCUCUUAGUCUGGGAUAGCCAUUGGAAACGAUGAUUAAUACUAGAUACUCCUUCUCAUUCUAAUAUGAGUCGGGAAAGUUUUUCGCUAAGAGAUCGGUCUAUAUCCCAUCAGUUAGUUGGUAAGGUAACGGCUUACCAAGGCAAUGACGGGUAGCGGGUUUGAGAGGAUGAUCCGCCACACUGGUACUGAGACACGGACCAGACUCCUACGGGAGGCAGCAGUGAGGAAUAUUGCACAAUGGGGGAAACCCUGAUGCAGCAACGCCGCGUGGAGGAUGACGCAUUUCGGUGUGUAAACUCCUUUUACGAGUCAAGAAAAUGACGGUAGCUCGUGAAUAAGCACCGGCUAACUCCGUGCCAGCAGCCGCGGUAAUACGAAGGGUGCAAGCGUUACUCGGAAUCACUGGGCGUAAAGGACACGUAGGCGGGAUGCCAAGUCUGAUGUGAAAUCCUAUGGCUUAACCAUAGAACUGCAUUGGAAACUGGUAACCUAGAGUAUGGGAGGGGGAGAUGGAAUUAGUGGUGUAGGGGUAAAAUCCGUAGAUAUCACUAGGAAUACCGAAAGCGAAGGCGA